rnacentral:misc_RNA from 1 species
UGUUGUUGUUGUUGCUGUUGUUGUAACAUGAAAGCCUGUUGCUGGUUGGCCAUGGCUGCCAUCUGCACAUUUGUCGGGGCAGCUACCAUGUUGGAGACAUAAAACGGGUCAUAUCCUACAUUCUGCAUCAUGGGAGCCACCGCUGGUGCAGGUUCCCAUGGAUUAUAACUCACGUUUUGGUUGGUUUGUCUCAUUGCAUCAUCAUACAAACUAUCUAGCGUAAGUUUAUCGAGACCUCCACCCAGUUUACUAGCAGUAGCGGCACUCUCAUUCGAGCUGGGAGCUUCCACAAGAGCCAGUUCCCAGCCUGAAGUUCCAUUUGUAAAAUUUGAACCAGUUGAAGUCGGUGGGUUGGUAGAGCCAACUGGUAUGAUAGCUAAAGCCAAGGAAUUCUUCUCAUCUAGUUCUGCAACAGCCGGAGAAGGAUCGUCCAUAGACAGAAGAUCAGCAGUUUCUGCUAAAGGAGCUUCCGUUUUAACAGGUUCCGGCUUUGGUUCAGGUUCCUUUUCAGGUUCAGGUGGAGGGGGAGAAAGAGAGCCAGCAUCUUUGACCUCUGGGUCCUUUUUGUACUCGAUAGCUAAAAUAACUUUGGGUUCCGAAUCUUUCCGCACUGUAGAAGCUCGUGGUGCAUCUCUCACAUACUCCUCCAUAGCUUGUAAAAAUGAUGCAGGGGGCUGCUCAAUUUUAAUAAAUUUCUGGCCACGUCCCACGUCAAUAUUCUUACAUAUUUCGUAAAACUCUGAAAGUGCUUCCGCCUG